UGGGGAAGGGAGGGAUGUCCACAAAGUAAUGACACAGUGGGGUGAUCCUUUAACCAUCUCAGUGAGUCUGGUGUUUUAUUUUGUUUCUGAACUGUUGCUAAUAUACCUUUCACUUGGCUGUUAUAAGUUGCAUUACGUAAAUACAGCUGGAGAAAAAUGUGUGUGUCUUCAUUUCAGCCUGCAAAACAACAACGUGAAUAUUUUGAAUCUGAUUCUUCUCUUUACACACUGUAAGUGUGCCCAGUGAUGGACUGGGUUACCACUUCUAGGGCUUGUUUCCCCUUUUGAGCCCCCUGAAAUCUUGAAUUGUCCCAGUAGGCUCAUCACAAGCUCUGACGGGAGAUCCAAGAAGGCCACCCGAGGCAAAACCCAAGCGCCAGUCCACUCACUUACAGAUUCUUUGCCAAGGCACAUUUUAACGAUUCUGAACAAUUCUACAAAACGCAUAGUUUUCUUCUCAAUGUAUUGUUUCAGUUAAGGAUAUGACAGAUCAGCUUUAAGAUAUGUGUAGAUCAAAAGGAGUACUUAAGUGUUUUUCAUAUUUAUUGCAUUUUAAGUGUAAUUUUUUCUUCUGGCUUACCAUCCUCUCAAGUGAACACUUUCUUCAUUGUUGUUAGAGGGCUGAGGUUGUCCACUAAUAUUGCUACAGCAGGAAAGAUUCUGACGGAAAAUGCUGCAUUUGUGUUUGCAGGUUGACUAUUUGGAUUCAUUUUGGUUUUUUUACAUUGUUUAAUUGAAGAAAGGCUGCUAUAUUUAAAACAUGGAAUUGGCAACAACUUUAUGUCUCGGGCAAGCAGUGUAGUAACACAGAAUCGCUCAACUUCCAAAAGUUUUCUGGAGCCGAACUUGAGCUGGUUAUUGUAAAUGGAACUGGUAUUCUCAGUCCUGCUGCGCCUGUUGCAAUACGUCACUCCCAUUUUUAUUGUCAAUAAAAGAUUUAAAUGGAAUGCAUCAUUUGUUUUCCUGUGAUGAGUAACAGAUUUGGCUUUUUUACUUUUGCCAGCAGCCAUACCACCUGCACUUCACAGAAGAGGUCAUCCACCUGCAGCUCAGUCUGCAUCUAGAAAAAUAAUUUAAGUUUGAUACACUUAUUUAAAGUUUUACUUAAGUCCAAUUUAAAAAGGAAUAGCAAAGUUUAAAAACUCAAUUGUAUCACACUGCGGCACGAGUAUUGCAGUGUUAAUCGUAUUCUAGUGCUCCUGGUAGAUCCCACCCUUAGUCUCAACUAUGCAUUGUGGUAAACAUUUAUCAACUUGUUUGGCUGAUGCUGCUGUUUUGCUUUAUAUUUGUCAGCAUACAGCUGGCAGCCUUCAGAAUCUUACAUUAUACUUAGCUGCAUGGAUUUAAAAUUGGGACUACUUAUAAUUACAGGAGAUUCAAAACAGCUCACAUCAGACUAAAAAAUCAUUUCAUGCUUCCUGAAUUGACUGCACAUUAUUGAGAAGUGAUGCCACCUGAAGUAGAAACAGCUAGUAAUUGUUUAAGAAAUAUUGUUUAAAACAAACAGUGAAACCUCUUUAUCUGCUAAGCUAAAGUGAUAAUCAGUGCACCACAAAAUGCAUAACUGACAAGCAUCUUGUAUACACUGUGGACACCAGGGGGCACUCCAGCUCCCCAAACACCCAACACAAGCAGGCACUCGGACACAAGUGUAAUAAACAAGAGAAUUUUAUUUUGGGAAACUCUUCCCCUUGAUGUGUUUCCCACAGCACAAAGCAGCAGCAAUAAAGUACAACACUGCAACACUUUGUCUCAACCCCCAGCCCAAUGCCACUGGUCACGGGCUCCUCCACCAUGCCACCUUGCCAGCUUCAUCCACCUGCCCUCUUUUAUGUAGCACCUGGGAGUACUUCCACUAUCUCCAAGGACUGGCCCUGUGGGCACCUCUGUGUGGAGUGGGAGCCCAACAAAGUAGAGUUCCCCAGUCCCCGCAGCACUCCAUGGAUGCACCUGCAGAAUCCAAUAGGGCUGAGUUGGCAAACUCCAAGUCCCAUGAUGCCCCGUGGAAAUCCAGUGCACUGCUGCAACCCGGGCGGGUUGCCAUCCAGUAGUUUGGGGAAGGCAAUGCCGUAAUGAAGGCAUAGUGCCUCCUGGACGGGUAAGGAUGCAGGCCAUCCCUCACAACAUAUAAAGUGUACAGUAUGUGUAUUCAAAUGGGCAAAACUUAAUUAUUACAUCCAAUUUCAACUGGACCUUUCUCUAAGCAGAUUAAUAUUUGUUUCAUUCCAAUAUUUUGAAUACCACUGCAGUUUCUGCACUUACGUCUGCUUCGUUUAGUCAGGCCUGGAAGUUAGCAGAACAAAGAAUGAGCUGGCAAACCGCCGAGUGCAGCGUGAACCCGCUGUGCCAGUGCAGGGCCGCCUGAAACUCGAGCUCCGCCAUUGCAGUAGAAAAUAAACAAACAGUUACCUUUGAUGUUAGAGUUUAUGUUUAAUAUGAAAACAUACAGCGUAGUGAAGAUAGAAUACCUGAGUUUAUUAUUAUUUUUUUUAAUUACUCUUGUUUUAUUUCAGUGGCAUUACAGUGUAAAGAAGGCAGAAUAAUAAGGACACAAAUGAAGACAAAUCUGCACAAAAGCAGAAAGGAGCAGGUACAAGACCCUUAAACUCCGUCACUUCAAUUUGCAGACUGUAAAGGUUGACCCCUUUUAUUGGAUUGGGGGGGUCUGUGGAGGAGCAGUGGUCCAGUGAUUGCACCCCUUAAUUUUCUUAAACACCGCCCAUCAGAUGACAGCACCACAUGUGACCUCCUAUGUUACCCAAGGACUGACUGAACUGUGCCACCAGGAGUACCAAUUGGCCUUCACCCGACCGGCAGAGAGAACGUUCAGGAAACAGGAAAAGAAUUGCAACAUGGAAUAAAAAUCUCAGACGGAUGUGCACCAGCCUGGAACUUCAUUCAACAUUUGAAGCUACACCAAGAAUGUCUGUUCAUCGCUGUUCCCUCUACCAAAAAAACAAAAUCACCAUUCCUACCUGCGGCAAACUUCAG